rnacentral:lncRNA from 1 species
GUUUAGUCUCACCCUUCCUAUCAGAUCUGACAUCUAACUACUUGUUGAUUCUCACUUUUGUUUCACUAAAGGGUACCAGCCCUGAUCACUAAGUCUUGAAUGAAGCUCUCCUCCAGCACGUUGUCAUGUUCGUGAGUGGACAAGUGCUAGGGACCAUCAGACUCUACCUUGCCAGAUAUGUGGAAGGAGAGUCAUAACAGAAGAGAUUCUCAUUAUAUUAAGGCCCCAGCGAGCUCUGAGGAUGGAGCGCCCCUGCCUUCCACAUGUGGGGAAUCCCGGCUGCAGACGCGUUGGAGGAGAACCCGCAUCUCAGCACAGCCAGUAACAUGCAACCUAACGCCCCCAGUGAUACCCAGCUCCUGCCAGUGCCCUGGGCAGGUCACUACAGAAAGGGCUCGUGUGCAAAGUUCCCAGGACUUAAAGCAUGAAGAGAUUCAAUACAUGAAAACAGGUACGGAUAAUGACUCUAAUACAGUUGCAGUCAGUAUGGAUUUCUUCUAACGGCCAGUACCAAUAAGCCUCUGGCAGUGGAAGACACCAACUUGCAAUAAAGAGCCAAGCCUGAAGAGCA